UUUACCCGCUGGAAAUUAAGCAUAUCAAUAAGCGGAGGAAAAGAAACUAACAAGGAUUCCCCUAGUAACUGCGAGUGAAGCGGGAAAAGCUCAAAUUUAAAAUCUGAUAGUCUUUGGCUGUCCGAGUUGUAAUCUAGAGAAGUGUUACCCGCGCUGGACCAUGUACAAGUCUCCUGGAAUGGAGCGUCAUAGAGGGUGAGAAUCCCGUCUCUGACAUGGACUACCAGGGCUUUGUGGUAUGCUCUCAAAGAGUCGAGUUGUUUGGGAAUGCAGCUCAAAAUGGGUGGUAAAUUCCAUCUAAAGCUAAAUAUUGGCGAGAGACCGAUAGCGAACAAGUACCGUGAGGGAAAGAUGAAAAGAACUUUGGAAAGAGAGUUAAACAGUACGUGAAAUUGCUGAAAGGGAAACGCUUGAAGUCAGUCGCGUUGACUGGGGAUCAGCUUUGCAUUUGCAUAGUGUACUUCCCAGUUGACGGGUCAGCAUCAAUUUUGACCGCUGGAAAAAGACUUAGGGAAUGUGGCAGCUCUAGCUGUGUUAUAGCCCUUUGUCACAUACAGCGAUUGGGAUUGAGGAACUCAGCACGCCGCAAGGCCGGGGUUAUACCCACGUUCGUGCUUAGGAUGCUGGCAUAAUGGCUUUAAGCGACCCGUCUUGAAACACGGACCAAGGAGUCUAACAUGCCUGCGAGUGUUUGGGUGGAAAACCCAAGCGCAUAAUGAAAGUAAUAGUUGAGAUCCCUGUCGUGGGGAGCAUUGACGCCCGGACCAGAACUUUUGGGACGGAUCCGCGGUAGAGCAUGUAUGUUGGGACCCGAAAGAUGGUGAACUAUGCCUGAAUAGGGUGAAGCCAGAGGAAACUCUGGUGGAGGCUCGUAGCGAUUCUGACGUGCAAAUCGAUCGUCAAAUUUGGGUAUAGGGGCGAAAGACUAAUCGAACCAUCUUGGUUCGU
rnacentral:rRNA from 1 species